AUGUCUGCGAAUAGAAAAAUAGUUUUUAUCAAUGAUCUCAAGCCUUACAAAGAAGAAUGGCGAGUUCGUCUGAAGCUUCUUCAUUCGUGGAAAACAAAGACUACCUAUGGAGGAGAAUCUCUUGAGUUAAUAUUCGCAGAUGAAACGGGUCAAAAAAUGCAUGCAUCAUGUAAACGAAAUCUGAUGUAUCGUGUUCAACGCGAUUUACAGCUAGGAGAAUGGAAAGAGGUCGAGAAAUUUAAGAUAUCUGCUGAAGGAGUUUAAUAUAGACCAUCCAAAUUUCAAUACAAAAUCACCAUCAUCAGAGAUACCGUGAUCAGACGUACUGAUUACCGUAAUGAGAAUAACUUCCUAUCUCUGUCAAGUUACGAGGAUAUUGGAAACGGAAAGUGCGAAGCUUUUUUUCUAAUUGAUGUUAUGGGUCAAAUGGUCGAUCUUGGAGAAGUGAGAAUGUGUCAAUUAACAACCGGGGAAAACAGAAAGAGAGUGCAGUUUCGUUUGCGUGAUACAAGUGGGAAUGAACUUCCAUGUUGCUUAUGGGGAUCCUACGCUGAUCAAAUAGAAUCGCAUAUGGAGGAAUCAACAGAUGGAACUGUAAUCUGCUUGAUACGCUUUGCCAAAAUCAAUAACUUCAGAGGUGAAGUGCAAUCACCAAUGCUUUUGAUACAUCACUUUUGAUGCUUAAUCCAACCAUUGAGGAAGCUAUUGAGUUCAGACAGAAGAUGACCGAAAGUGAUGCUCUACCCUUAGCUCUUUUGGCUAAAAGUGAUGAAAAUAAGAUAAUGGCACCAGUUGUUGAUGAUUGGAAUGAGGUUGACAUUAAAUCAAUUUUUGAGAUAUGUCUUGCUGUUGAGGCUGAGCCCUGCAAAAUCGUGUGUACAAUUGAAGCCAUAGACACAGAUUGGGGUUGGUUCUAUUUUGGAUGUGUGAGGCAUAACCGACGUACCACUAGGGUUGGUAGGAAUGGCCAUCAAAAGUUGCUUGAAACUGAUAAGCCACAGUUCUAUUGUGAUGUGUGUCGAGCAAACAUCACUAAUAUCGCACCUAAGUAUAAGCUUCAUGUCUUAGUGAAAGAUGACACUGGGUCAUGCCGUUUAAUGUUACUGGACAGUGUGGCUAGAACUAUUAUUGGCUAGAACUAUUAUUGGUGAUAAAGAUGACACUAUGUUUUUAUUUGCAGAUUGAAG